AGCGGGGACGGGUGAGUAACACGUGGAUAACCUCCUAUACGACUGGGAUAACUUCGGGAAACCGGAGCUAAACCGGCUACUUAUAUAUGAAUCCGCGCUGCAUUAGCUAGGUGGUAAGGUAACGGCUGAACAAGGCAACGAUGCAUAGCCGAGCUGAGAGGAGUGUCGGCCAUACGGGAACGGAGAAACGGUCCAGCCUCCGAAGGGAGGCAGCAGUAGGGAAUUGUACGCAAUGGGCGAAAUCCUGAUGGAGCACAGCCGCGUGAGGGAUGAAGGUCUGCGGAUCGUAAAACUCUGUUAUUAGGGAAGCGGUACCGAAGCAGAAAGCCACGGCGAACUACGGGCCAGAAGACGCGGUAAUUC
rnacentral:rRNA from 1 species